UAUGUAUAACCCCACGCUCCUAUGAAUUAAGAGAGAGAGAAACGGAGAGAGAGAAAUAAAGAGGGAAAGAGAUGUUCGCGAUCCGACCCGAACCUUCGCGAUCGGACCCGAAUUUAUCUCCAUUUUCCAGCCACCUUACCGACCAAGGAAGGUACCAAUAGAAAGCUUGAGAACUGGCCGUCAUUUCCAUUCCGUCAUUGCCGUCGAUUAUUGGCCGGAAAGCCGUUUAUUGAAGCCGCAAAAUUUGGCGGUGAAGCCGCAUUGUUUCGCCGCUGUUCCGCUAGUUUUGGGUGAGGCGACCAGUUGGAUUUUGUUCCCCACAAUCCCCUCUGUCCUUUCCGACCAUCCACUGAGCCGGGAACUGCCCUGUCCCGGCCGGUCAGCCGUUGGAAAGUUCAUGGCUUUGGGAGCUCGAUCAGCCACCGUCGCCGCGCGUCGAUCGUCACCGCCGCCACCAUCGGACUCAGCGUGGUUGGAACUCUCAGGCUAGAGCUUCCCGACGGCCUUUGGUUGACUUUCGGUCAUCGUUGACCAGUAAGGCCAUUUCGGUAAUUUCGUAUCCGAGGGCAAUUUUAUAGUUUCACACUUUGCGGGUAUUUUAGUAAUUGUAUAAAUCAAGAAUAGGCUGGUAAUUUACGAUUUUGAGAUUAACUUGGUAAAUUAUGAUUUUGGGGGUAUUCUAAUAAUGUUAGAAUUUGAGGGUAUUUUGGUAAUUUUGUUAAAUUUGAAGGCGAUUUUAUAAUUUUUGGAUUUGUGCAUAUUUUGGUAGUUUCUGAAUUGGAGAAUAAUUAGUAAUUUAUGAAAUUGAGAAUGAUUUGGUAGUUUAUAAUUUUGGAAUUUUUAGAUUAUUUAUGUGAUUUAUGAGUUUGAGGGCAUUUCGAUGAAGGUUGGGUUAUUUGAACUCAACAAACGCCUCACUAAAUCUAUUUUUGAGAUUAAUCUUUUAUGAUUAAAAUACUCUUAAAUUAAAUUACAAUUAUGGAUAUUAAAAUAUAAUAAAAAAACAGAAUUUUAAUUUUUUCAGCCCAUUUAUACAUCAACAUAAUUUUGUUAAAUCAUAAUCUUAUUUUCAUUAAAUCCUAAUUAACUAGAGGCAUGAAUUACGAGUGGCAAUCUUUUACUUUCAAUUAUCUUCCUACGGUUUGAUGCGCAUUCAAAUGGAGCUCAUCAUCGAUCAUUGAGUCAUGUGCUCUGAUUAUAAUAUUAAUCCUUAAAUUUUCUGAAAACUUUAAUUAUCAUUAAUCAAAAGCAAAUUGUAUUUUAAUUAACGGGUUAAAUUUCUUUUCUUUUCAAUUUGGCCAUUUAGUGGAGCCGAAUUAAGCUAAGCCGCAUCACCAUUCACCAAUGGUAGCUCAGCCUCUCCGCUAACAAUAGGCAUGGCUGAUUCUCAAUUAUCUGAUUAUCAUCACAAGCUCAAGUAGCACCUACGCUAACAAAUUCAUUUUGAUUUAAUUACCAUCUCCAUCGGUGUUAAAAAAAAUAAAUGAUUUCAAUGAAGAUUUAUAAAUGAAGUUAAUGGAUUUAGCGAGUUAAAAUAUUAUUAUUAUAAAAAUUGAGUUUAGUGAGUGUAUAUUAAGUAUUUAUCCGUACUAAUAUUUUAGCAUCCUAAUGAUUUCAAUUUAUCCAAUAAAUAUACAAUUGAAUCAUCUUAUAAAAUAAGUAUCUAAUCCUACUUUGAAGUAUUAAAAAAAGAAAAAAAAAGUUGAAUUGAAGACAUAUUUGAAAAUAAAAUAAAUUUUAUUAUUUAAUAAAAUUAUAAAAAUGCAAGGGGUAUAUCCAAAAGUUUCCGGGGUCUAGCCCAGGCUUGCUGUCUUAAGCAAAAAUUCGAAUCAAAUCAAAAUUAAAUUCUUUUUCUCCUCUCAUUUUUUAGAUGGGUUUCUUUGAUAGCCAAUCGAGAUCAAAAAAAGAAAUGGCAAAGGGAGAAUGAAUACAAGUAAAAAAAAAAAAAAAGAAGAAUAAGAAUAAUAAUUUAAGUGACUAGAUUUUUUCUUUCCUUGAAAUAUUGUCAUGUCGAUAAUUUUCUCUGCUAUAAUUUAUUAAUAAAAUUUAAUCGACAUAUGCGUGAAGAAGAAGUGCAAUUUUUCAUGAGAGAUUGAAAAGUGACUAACAUGAAGUUAACUUUUUUCUUCAGUUAGUAAUUUCAGUUAGUUUUAAAAACGUUAUGUUUUUUACAUCUAAAUAAAAUAUAGAUAGGAGGACAGGGGUAGAAACUCUUACAUCAAGUGAGAAUAAGUUUUUAUGUACUAUAUAUAUAUAUAUAAGAGGAGAUUAUGGUGAUAGGUAAGAUUAAAUUUAUUAACAAAAAUUUAAAAACAUCUUAUUAAUAUAAAAUUAUAAAAAAAUAAAUAAAUACUCACCUUAGAAUUUCUUAAAUACCAUGUUUCAAAAUCUCUUAUAAAGUUUAGGAAAAAAAAAUUGAAGUUGAAAAUUUACAAAUCAUUUUCCUAAUUUGAGAAGAUAUAUAAGUUUAGUGAAACUUAAUAAGUCUUUUCCUUCUUCCUUUUCCUUAACUAGUCAGGCUUUCAUUUUCCUUGACUAGUUAGGAUAUACAUCCUUAUAUAAAGAUGCUUACAUUGAGCUCCCAAAUCCCAACUUCGCAAUAGAGUUAAUAAAUUAGAAGGUAUCGAGUUCUUGGUUUUCAGUUUUUUCUUGAAUCGUCGAUCAAAAAACUUGAUUAGCUAUGAAGCAGAAGGCAAUUGACUCCGAAGAAGGAUGGGACUAUUUGGAUCGGGGAAUCACAAAAUUGAAGAGGAUUUUCGAAGGAUUGCCGGAGCCAACGUUUAAUUUGGAGGAUUACAUGAUGCUUUACACAACCGUAUACAAUAUUUAUUCUGAGUCGACUUAUCCUCUUGACAAAAAUAGCAAACAGUUGUAUAACAAUUACAAGCAAAUACUUGAAGAUUAUAUGCCAUCAAAGGUAUUGCCAUCUUUGAGAGAGAAGCACGAUGAGUAUGAUUUGUUGAAGGAGCUUUUGAAAAGCUGGGCUAAUCAUAAAUUUUUGGUUAAAUGGCUUUCACUCGUCUUCCUUCCUCUUCAAGUUGAAUUCGCUUAUAUUACUCGAAAGAAACUUCCUAAACUUAAUGCGUUUGGACUUUCUUGCUUCCGGGAUCUGGUGUUUGAUGCUAUAAAGGACAAAGUCAAGGAUGCUGUAAUUGCUUUAAUCGAUAGAGAACGCGAGGGAGAAGAGAUUGACAGAACGUUGGUGAAGAAUGUAUUGAAUUUAUUCGUUGAGAUUGACGAGGGGAAGAUGCAUUGUUACGAAAAGGAUUUUGAAGAACAUAUGCUUCAGGAUACGGGGGCUUAUUAUUCUCGCAAGGCAUCAAAUUGGAUUCUUCAGGAUUCGAGUGAAGAUUACAUGCUCAAGGUUGGUGAAUGCUUGAAGAAAGAAAGAGGGAGAGCGUCUCAUUACCUGCAACCAAGCAGCGAGCGGAAAUUGACGGACAUACUAGAACAUGAGUUGUUGGUGGUGCGUGCAAGUCAGCUUCUUGAAGAAGGAGAAUUUGGAUGCAGACAAUUGCCUAGAGGAGAUAAGGUGGAUGAUCAUUCGAUUAUCUGCUGUGACAGCGAGAAAUCGAGGAAUGAAUUAGGCAUUGGAGAAACAUUGGAGUAGGUUCUUAGAUUGUGAUGCACACCAAGAAACCCUAAAGUUCCUAGUCAAUUUCAAGUCUAUUAAUUUUAUAAUUUCUAUUCCAUUGGAUUUUUUUUUUUUCCUUGAGCACUAAUUAAUUGGCAUUGCUGCCUUAGAUAUCGUGAUGAGUAAGCAUGCCGAUGAAUAUGUUUUAUACAUUAAUUAAAAAUUUUAGACAACCCCAUAGAUAAAGAUAGACCUAAGAACUAAUUAUGAACAAAAUAGUAAUGGGUAUAAAUUGCCUUCUCAAUAAUUAUUCGUUGCAUUGUGGUUCAUACGAAAGAAUAUGAAUAAGUUAUCAUUAUUUGUUCUUCUUUUCCUUUCUAAUUUUUUUUUUAGCGACUUCUUCAAUCCUUUCUCUCCCUAUCCCCAAUUAUUUUGAGAUUUCUCUUCACCAUUCGUUAAUUUUCCUUUUCAAUAAAUUUUGAAUGUAUUUCAUGAAUCCAAUUUGGUAAGCCAAUGUGUAUAACAAAAUCUCUCACCCCACCAACCAACCAUUUUUCUUAUUUUUCUUUCUUCAUAUAAAGUUCUUGUCUAAGAAUAGAGAAUUCACUUCCAGAUCACAAGUAUAUGGGCUUGGAAGUUGUUUUCCAGCUAAAACUUUUGGGCCAACAAUCAAGGCCUAUCAAGCAAACAACUUUUGUCCUCCUGCACUUACCUCGUUUCGUUGAUAAAGAAAAUCCCUUAAGUUGAUGAAUUUGUGCUUCGUAAUCCUAAUUGUUUGAAUUCCGUCAAGCAAUGCAACAGAACACAAAAUGUCCUUUUCACCCUUAGGAUUUAAUAUAAUACAUAUUUCAUCCCUAUAUUUUAAAUAAUAGUGUAAAGUAUUCUUUCAUUAAUUUGCCAUUAGUUUAUUAUAUUUUUUUUGCAAGCUCCAUUAGCAUACUUGGUAGUUUGCAUACAAUUUUUGACAAUUUAAUUUUUUAAAAUUAAAAAUUAAUAUAAUUUUUUUAUAUUUAGGGCUAAAUUAGUAAUUUAAUUAUUUUCUUUUUAUUAAUGUCCAAGUAAAAAAAUAAUUAUAAAUGGGCAAUAUUGUUAAAGUAAGACAAAAGAAAUAAAAAGUAACAAUAUGAAUAUCAAUACUUUAACGGCAGAGAUUUAAAAAAAUACAAGGACUAAAUAAAUAUUAAUCUUAAAAUAUAGAGACUAAAUGAUCUUUUAUCCUUUACACAACCGUAUACAAUAUUUGUUCCCAGCCGGAUCGUCUUCUUGAUGAAGAUCCCAAACAGCUGUAUGACAAGUAAAAGCAAGUACUUGAAGAUUAUAUGCCAUGAAAGGCAUUGCCAUCUUUGAGAGAGAAGCACGAUGAGUAUCAUUUGUUGAGGGAGCUUUUGAAAAGCUGGGCUAAUAAUGAAAUUUUGGUUAAAUGGCUUUCACGCGUCUUCCUUCCUCUUCAGGUAGGUUAUAUUCCUCGAAGGAAACUUCCUAAACUUAAUGCGAUUUUAAAGGAAAUAAAUGAUGAAAUUAUGAAAAUAUUGUUAAUUGUUAUUAUAUCAUUGAGUAAUAAUAAGAAUCUUAAUAUUAAAGUUUUAAUUUGCGUUCUAAAGUUCAUUUUAAAUUAGUUUAGGAGGUUUAAAAGUGAUUUUAAAAAUUUAAAAAUUAAUUUUAAUAUUUCAUAAAAAAAUUAAAAUUAUUUUUUAUCAAAAUCAGUCCAUAUGAUUUUAAAUUUAAAUUUAAAUUUAGAGAAUUAAUUUUAUAUUUUAAUACAAUUUUAAUUUUAUCCUCUACCAUUAUACUUUGAGUAAUGAUACAACCACAAACUCUUGUACAAAUUUAUUUUAUACAAACUGAUGUGGCAUGAUAAGAUUGAUUGAAUUAAAAAUCACUUGGCCCACAUGAUUUGUUUUUAUUAUUUUAUAUUUUCAUUCAACCAAUGAAUUAAUGACACGUCAGUUUAUACAAAAUAAAUUUAUAUAAAAAUUUAUAGCUGUAUCAUUACUCUUAUACUUUAGUUAAAAUAAUGUGUUUCGUAUUGCACCCAAUGACAAUGUCAUUAUUGUUGACAUACUCUUUUUUUUUUAAAUAGACCAAACCAUUUUUUUUUUUUUCUGUGUAUUACCCCACGCCCCUAUGAAUUAAGAGAGAGAGAAACGAAGAGAGAGAAAGAAAGAGGGAAAGAGAUGGGAGCGAUCCGACCCGAACCUUCGCGAUCGGACCCGAAUUUAUCUCCAUUUUCCAGCCACCUUACCGACCAAGGAAGGUACCAAUAGAAAGCUUGAGAACUGGCCGUCAUUUCCAUUACGUCAUCGCCGUCGAUUAUUGGCCGGAAAGCCGUUUAUUGAAGCCGCAAAAUUUUGCGGUGAAGCCGCAUUGUUUCGCCGCUGUUCCGCCAGUUUUGGGUGAGGCGACCAGUUGGAUUUUGUUCCCCACAAUCCCCUCUGUCCUUUCCGACCAUCCACUGAGCCGGGAACUGCCCUGUCCCGGCCGGUCAGCCGUUGGAAAGUUCAUGGCUUUGGGAGCUCGAUCAGCCACCGUCGCCGCGCGUCGAUCGUCACCGCCGCCACCAUCGGACUCAGCGUGGUUGGAACUCUCAGGCUAGAGCUUCCCGACCGCAUUUGGUUGGCUUUCGGUCACCUUUGACCAGCAAGGCCAUUUCGGUAAUUUCGUAUCCGAGGGCAAUUUUAUAAUUUCAUACUUUGCGGGUAUUUUAGUAAUUGUAUAAAUUGAGAAUAGGCUGGUAAUUUACGAUUUUGAGAUUAACUUGGUAAAUUAUGAUUUUGGGGGUAUUCUAAUAAUGUUAGAAUUUGAGGGUAUUUUGGUAAUUUUGUUAAAUUUGAGGCGAUUUUAUAAUUUUUGAAUUUGUGCAUAUUUUGGUAGUUUCUGAAUUGGAGAAUAAUUAGUAAUUUAUGAAAUUGAGAAUGAUUUGGUAGUUUAUAAUUUUGGAAUUUUUAGAUUAUUUAUGUGAUUUAUGAGUUUGUGGGCAUUUCGAUGAAGGUUGUGUUAUUUGAACUCAACAAACGGCUCACUAAAUUUAUUUUUGAGAUUAAUUUUUUAUAAUUAAAAUAUUUUUAAAUUAAAUUACAAUUAUGGAUAUUAAAAUAUAAUAUAAAAAAACAGAAUUUUAAUUUUUUCAGCCCAUCUAUACAUCAACAUAAUUUUGUUAAAUCAUAAUCUUAUUUUCAUUAAAUCCUAAUUAACUAGAGGCAUGAAUUACGAGUGGCAAUCUUUUACUUUCAAUUAUCUUCCUACGGUUUGAUGCGCAUUCAAAUGGAGCUCAUCAUCGAUCAUUGAGUCAUGUGCUCUGAUUAUAAUAUUAAUCCUUAAAUUUUCUGAAAACUUUAAUUAUCAUUAAUCAAAAGCAAAUUUGAUUUUAAACAACGGGUUAAAUUUCUUUUCUUUUCAAUUUGGCCAUUUAGUGGAGCCGAAUUAAGCUAAGCCGCAUCACCAUUCACCAAUGGUAGCUCAGCCUCUCCGCUAACAAUAGGCAUGGCUGAUUCUCAAUUAUCUGAUUAUCAUCACAAGCUCAAGUAGCACCUACGCUAACAAAUUCAUUUUGAUUUAAUUACCAUCUCCAUCGGUGUUAAAAAAAAUAACUGAUUUCAUUGAAGAUUUAUAAAUGAAUUUAAUGGAUUUAGCGAGUAAAAAUAUUAUUAUUAUAAAAAUUGAGUUUAGUAAGUGUAUAUUAAAUAUUUAUCCGUACUAAUAUUUUAGCAUCCUAAUGAUUUCAAUUUAUCCAAUAAAUAUACAAUUGAAUCAUCUUAUAAAAUAAGUAUCUAAUCCUACUUUGAAGUAUUAAAAAAAGAAAAAAAAAGUUGAAUUGAGGACAUAUUUUAAAAUAAAAUAAAAUUUAUUAUUUAAUAAAAUUUUAAAAAUGCAAGGGGUAUAUCCAAAAGUUUCCGGGGUCUAGCCCAGGCUUGCUGUCUUAAGCAAAAAUUCGAAUCAAAUCAAAAUUAAAUUCUUUUUCUCCUCUCAUUUUAUAGCUAAAUUUCGAUAAUUGGAAAACUAGACUAACGACACAAAGUCUUGAAAACAAAAUGGUUUGAUGGGUUUCUUUGAUAGCCAAUCGAGAUCAAAAAAGAAAUGGCAAAGGGAGAAUGAAUACAAGUAAAAAAAAAAAAGAAGAAUAAGAAUAAUAAUUUAAGUGACUAGAUUUUUUCUUUCCUUGAAAUAUUGUCAUGUCGAUAAUUUUCUCUGCUAUAAUUUAUUAAUAAAAUUUAAUCGACAUAUGCGUGAAGAAGAAGUGCAGUUUUUCAUGAGAGAUUGAAAAGUGACUAACAUGAAGUUAACUUUUUUCUUCAGUUAGUAAUUUCAGUUAGUUUUAAAAACGUUAUGUUUUUGACAUCUAAAUAAAAUAUAGAUAGGAGGACAGGAGUAGAAACUCUUACAUCAAGUGAGAAUAAGUUUUUAUGUACUAUAUAUAUAUAAGAGAGAUUAUGGUGAUAGGUAAGAUUAAAUUUAUUAACAAAAAUUUAAAAACAUCUUAUUAAUAUAAAAUUAUAAAAAAAUUAAAUACUCACCUUAGAAUUUCUUAAAUACCAUGUUUCAAAAUCUCUUACAAAGUUAAGAAAAAAAAAAUUGAAGUUGAAAAUUUACAAAUCUUUUUCCUAAUUUGAGAAGAUAUAUAAGUUUAGUGAAACUUAAUAAGUCUUUUCCUUGACUAAUUAGGCUUUCCUUUUCCUUAACUAGUUAGGAUAUACAUCCUUAUAUAAAGACGCUUACAUUAAGCUCUCAAAUCCCAACUUCGCAAUAGAGUUAAUAAAUUGGAAGGAAUCGAGUUCUUGGUUUUCAGUUUUUUCUUGAAUCGUCGAUCGAAAAACUUGAUUAGCAAUGAAGCGCAAGGCAUGUGACUCCGAAGAAGGAUGGGACUAUUUGGAGCGGGGAAUCACAAAAUUGAAGAGGAUUUUCGAAGGAUUGCCAGAGCCAGCGUUUAAUUUGGAGGAUUACAUGAUGCUUUACACAACCGUAUACAAUAUUAACUCCCAGCGGACUUAUCCUCUUGACAAAAAUAGCAAACAAUUGUAUAACAAUUACAAGCAAGUACUUGAAGAUUAUAUGCCAUCAAAGGUAUUGCCAUCUUUGAGAGAGAAGCACGAUGAGUAUGAUUUGUUGAGGGAGCUUUUGAAAAGCUGGGCUAAUCAUAAAUUUUUGGUUAAAUGGCUUUCACUCGUCUUCCUUCCUCUUCAAGGUGAAGGCGCUUAUAUUACUCGAAAGAAACUUCCUAAACUUAAUGCGUUUGGACUUUCUUGCUUCCGGGAUCUGGUGUUUGAAGCUAUAAAGGACAAAGUCAAGGAUGCUGUAAUUGCUUUAAUCGAUAGAGAACGCGAGGGAGAAGAGAUUGACAGAACGUUGGUGAAGAAUGUAUUGAAUUUAUUCGUUGAGAUUGACAAGGGGAAGAUGCAUUGUUACGAAAAGGAUUUUGAAGAACAUAUGCUUCAGGAUACGGGGGCUUAUUAUUCUCGCAAGGCAUCAAAUUGGAUUCUUCAGGAUUCGAGUGAAGAUUACAUGCUCAAGGUUGGUGAAUGCUUGAAGAAAGAAAGAGGGAGAGCGUCUCAUUACCUGCAACCAAGCAGCGAGCGGAAAUUGACGGACAUACUAGAACAUGAGUUGUUGGUGGUGCGUGCAAGUCAGCUUCUUGAAGAUGGAGAAUUUGGAUGCAGACAAUUGCCUAGAGGAGAUAAGGUGGAUGAUCAUUCGAUUAUCUGCUGUGACAGCGAGAAAUCGAGGAAUGAAUUAGGCAUUGGAGAAACAUUGGAGUAGGUUCUUAGGUUGUGAUGCACACUACGAAACCCUAAAGUUCCUAGUCAAUUUCAAGUCUAUUAAUUUUAUAAUUUCUAUUCCAUUGGAUUUUUUUUUCCUGAAGCACUAAUUAAUUGGCAUUGCUGCCAUAGAUAUCGUGAUGAGUACGCGUACCGAUGAAUAUGUUUUAUACAUUAAUUAAAAAUUUUAGACAACCCUAUAGAUAAAGAUAGACCUAAGAACUAAUUAUGAACAAAAUAGUAAUGGGUAGAAAUUGUCUUCUUGACAAUUAUUCGUUGCAUUGCGGUUCAUACGAAAGAACAUGAAAAAUUAUCAUUAUUUGUUCUUCUUUUCCUUUCUAAUUUUUUUUUUUAGCGACUUCUUCAAUCCUUUCUCUCGCUAUCCCCAAUUAUUUUGAGAUUUCUCUUCACCAUUCGUUAAUUUUACUUUUCAAUAAAUUUUGAAUGUAUUUCAUGAAUCCAAUUUGGUAAGCCAAUGUGUAUAACAAAAUCUCUCACCCCACCAACCAACCAUUUUUCUUAUUUUUCUUUCUGCAUAUAAAGUUCUUGUCUAAGAAUAGAGAAUUCACUUCCCAGAUCACAAGAAUAUGGGCUUGGAAGUUAUUUACCAGCUAAAACUUUUGGGCCAACAAUCAAGGCCUAUCAAGCAAACAACUUUUGUCCUCCUGCACUUACCUCGUUUCGUUGAUAAAGAAAAUCCCUUAAGUUGAUGAAUUUGUGCUUCGUAAUCCUAAUUGUUUGAAUUCCGUCAAGCAAAGCAACAGAACAGAAAAUGUCCUUUUCACCCUUAGGAUUUAAUAUGAUACAUAUUUCAUCCCUAUAUUUUAAAUAAUAGUGUAAAGUAUUGUUCCGUUAAUUUGCCAUUAGUUUAUUAUAAUUUUUUUGCAAGCUCCAUUUGCAUACUUGGUAGUUUGCAUACAAUUUUUGACAAUUUAAUUUUUAAAAAUUAAAAAUUAAUAUAAAUUUUUUAUUUUUAUUUUUAGGGCUAAAUUAGUAAUUUAAUUAUUUUCUUUUUAUUAAUGUCCAAGCAAAAAAAUUAUUAUAAAAGGACAAUAUUGUUAAAGUAAGACAAAAGAAAUAAAAAGUAACAGUGUGAAUAUCAAUACUUUAAGGGUAAAGAUUUUAAAAAAUAUAAGGAUUAAAUAAAUAUUAAUCUUAAAAUAUAGAGACUAAAUGAUCUUUUAUCUUUUACACAACCGUAUACAAUAUUUGUUCUCAGUCGGCUCGUCCUCUUGAUGAAGAUCCUAAACAGCUGUAUGACAAGUAAAAGCAAGUACUUCAAGAUUAUAUGCCAUGAAAGGCAUUGCCAUACUUGAGAGAGAAGCACGAUGAGUAUCAUUUGUUGAGGGAGCUUUUGAAAAAUUGGGCUAAUCAUGAAUUUUUGGUUAAAUGGCUUUCACGCGUCUUCCUUCCUCUUCAAUUCGGUUAUAUUCCUCGAAGGAAACUUUCUGAACUUAAUGCGAUUGUAAAGGAAAUAAAUCAUGAAAUUACGAAAAUAUUGUUAAUUGUUAUUAUAUCAUUGAGUAAUAAUAAGAAUCUUAAUAUUCAAAUUUUAAUUUGAGUUCUAAGGUUCAUUUUAAAUUAUUUUAUCAGGUUUACAAAUAAUUUUAAAAAUUUAAAAAUUAAUUUUAAUAUUUAAUAAAAAAUUAAAAUUAUUUUUUAUCAAAAUCAGCCCAGAUACUUUUAAAUUUAAAUUUAGAGAAUUAAUUUUAUAUUUUAAUACAAUAUUAAUUGUAUCCUCUACCAUUGUACUUUAGUUAAAAUAAUGUAUUUCGUAUUGCACCCAAUGACCAUGUCAUAAUUGUUGACAUACUUUUUUUUUUAAAAAUAAACCAAACCAUAAUUUUUUUUUCAUAUGUAUUACCCCACACCCCUAUGAAUUAAGAGAGAGAGAAAUGAAGAGAGAGAAAGAAAGAGGGAAAGAGAUGGGAGUGAUCCGACCCGAACCUGCGCGAUCCGACCCGAAUUUAUCUCCAUUUUCCGGCCACCUUACCGACCAAGGAAGGUGCCAGUAGAAAGCUUGAGAACUGACCGUCAUUUCCAUUCCGUCAUUGCCGUCGAUUAUUGGCCGGAAAGCCGCUUAUUGAAGCCGCAUUGUUUCACCGCUAUUUUGCCAGUUUUGGGUGAGGCCACCAGUUGGAUUUUGUUCCCCACAAUCCCCUCUGUCCUUUUCGACCAUCCACUGAACCGGGAACUGCCCUUUCCCGGCCGGUCAGCCGUUGGAAAGUUCAUGGCUUUGGGAGCUCGAUCAGCCACCGUCGCCGCGCGUCGAUCGUCACCGCCGCUACCAUCGGACUCAGCGUGGUUGGAACUCUCAGGCUAGAGCUUCCCGACCGCCUUUGGUUGACUUUGGGUCACCGUUGACCAGCAAGGCCAUUUCGGUAAUUUCGUAUUCGAGGGCAAUUUUGUAAUUUCACACUUUGCGGGUAUUUUAGUAAUUGUAUAAAUUGAGAAUAGGCUGGUAAUUUACUAUUUUGAGGUUAACUUGGUAAAUUAUGAUUUUGGGGGUAUUCUAAUAAUGUUAGAAUUUGAGGGUAUUUUGGUAAUUUUGUUAAAUUUGAAGGCGAUUUUAUAAUUUUUGAAUUUGUGCAUAUUUUGGUAAUUUCUGAAUUGGAGAAUAAUUAGUAAUUUAUGAAAUUGAGAAUGAUUUGGUAGUUUAUAAUUUUGGAAUUUUUAGAUUAUUUAUGUGAUUUAUGAGUUUGAGGGCAUUUCGAUGAAGGUGGGGCUAUUUGAACUCAACAAACGGCUCAAUAAAUCUAUUUUUGAGAUUAAUUUUUAUGAUUAAAAUAUUUUUAAAUUAAAUUACAAUUAUGAAUAUUAAAAUAUGAUAAAAAAACAGAAUUUUUAUUUUUUCAGCCCAUCUAUACAUUCAACAUAAUUUUAUUAAAUCAUAAGUUUAUUUUCAUUAAAUCCUAAUUAACUAGAGGCAUGAAUUACGAGUGGCAAUCUUUUACUUUCAAUUAUCUUCCUACGGUUUGAUGCGCAUUCAAAUGGAGCUCAUCAUCGAUCAGUGAGUCAUGUGCUCUGAUUAUAAUAUUAAUCCUUAAAAU
rnacentral:lncRNA from 1 species